rnacentral:rRNA from 1 species
CCCCUAGACGUUCUGGGCUGCACGCGCGCUACAAUAAUACGCACAGCGAGUAUCACCGAGCUCGAAGGGCAAGGUAAACAAUAGAAAAGGUACUGUAAUGGUUAUAGAUCCUUGUAAUUAUUGAUCUUCAACGAGGAAUUCCUAGUAAGUAUGUGUCAUCAUCACGCACUGAUUACGUCCCUGCCCUUUGUACACACCGCCCGUCGCUCCUACCGAUUGGGUGAGCCGAUGAAACUCUCGGAUGUAGGCUAUUCAUAGCCCGCAGAAGAGAUUUGAAUCGUAGCGCUUAGAGGAAGGAGAAGUCGUAACA